UAAAGUCAAAAACAUUUCUGCCUUUGCUCAAAUACCCCUUGAAUCUACCUUUGUCUAGACAGUGAAGUUAGCAAAGGACAGCUGAUAUGUGCAGUGGUGACAGGAACAAGACAGAGCAGUCAGAGCAGUGUUGGAUAGAGAGCAGGCAGAACAAUCAGACAGGUGGCAAGCUAAAAGGAUACUGAUAUUGACAAAAAUGAUAGCUAGAACAAGACAGAUCAGACAAGACAGAAGAGGCAAAGUCCUAGAUGACUUGUCUAGUAUUGUAGCAAACUGCAUUCAUGGGUAGAACUUGCAGGGAACUUGAACUUGAAAAGAGCAAAACAGGAAUAAAACUAGCAGUUCAACAAGCACUGAGUGUGUGUCUUGUGGAUAGGACAUGCAUGCUUUAACUGGGAAAAAAAUUAUAUCUUAGAACAGCUAUGAAUGAUAGAACUUUAUGGUGCUGUAACCUGUAGCAAACUAUUUACUUUAUCAUAAAAGUAAAGCCCUUGUCUGACAAAUAGAUUGCCAUAUUUUAGUAUCUGGCUUCUAAGCUAUAUAAGAAGAAUGGGAUGUCAAAAUGUCUUGAUAAGAAAGCUCAGAUGAUACAAAGAAAGAAGGAAAUGUAUCAUUAAAAUAUGAGCAAUGGAUUUGGAUCUAGUUUUCUAUGGUUCUUUAGAAUCCAUUUCAGUAUCUCUCCUAAAAAUGCUUAAAGUUAGCCGUUUUUACAAGUAAUAACUACCCUAUUCAUUGCCAGCCUUGAUAUCAUAAAUUAAGUUGUGGUCUCUACAUAAAUACCCCAUUGCUUGCCAAGGGAAGUGAAUGUGGCAGCUCUGCAAAAAAAGCCAAAUCUUAAAAACUGCCAAAACAGAAGCCAAAAUAGCUGCAAUAAAAACCCAUUUUUCUGAUUUUUUUACAUUGUGGGAAUAUGCUUUCUACAACUCUUCAGGAGGGAAAACAUGUUAUCUCUGCUGAUAUUCCUUGUGGCACUGUGUGGGUAUCAAAACCUCAUUGUACAACCAGCCAAGGUAUUUUUUAACCUCAUAUGAGACUGGACAAGGUUUGUCUUAAUAAGUCUACAUCAUAUUUAGAAAGCUGAGAAAUGGGAGAAGGGAUGUAACAUCACUGUGGAGGGCUGUGUGUUUUAUCUAAAAGAAGAAAACAUCCCAUAAUUCAGCUGUGAUUCACUAUCUUCUUAUUUGUUAUGCAUGAAAUACAAUUGCCCUUUUACAUGUCUGCUAACUUUGGAAAAAUACUCAUCUUCUAGAGACACAGCUGGCUUUCUGUUUACUUGAUCUUCACACUCGAAUGGCCAUGUUCUGUUUAUCCCACACUUAGAGAUCAGAAGGUUGGAUAAGACCAUUGGGGUCAUCUCAGUUGCACUAUAAUUACAAGAUGAUCCUCUCAACACACCUCUCAACUGUUUUAUCUGGUCUACUUUGAACAUGACUUUGUUGAUCCAUCUGUGACUUCUUUUGAAGUGCUACUCUACUGCCUAAUGGACUUUAUGGAUAGAUUUCUUUUUAUCAGAAAGAUAAAAUUUACAUUUUCAUAUUAUGGUUCACUGCUCUUUAAUCACCUUAAAAACACCUUUUCUUUCCCCUGACAAUAUUUCCUCCCAAUAGCAAGAAACUAAGUGUAUGCUGUAUGUCAGUGUAGUGUUGAAUAACAAGAAUUAAAUCAACUGCCACAAAAUGAAAUGCACUUUCAUUUUCCCCUUCCUCUAUUUUACCUAGGUAAACACAAAAAACCUAAUAACAAGAUUUUACUAGUCCUACACAAUUCAGGAGAAUUUUGGCCUCAAAUGAUCUCAUAUGUACAAACUUAUAAAAUUUUUUAGUUAACCCAUAAUAAUUGCAGGUGUAAAUAACUUUAUUUUUACCCUGAAAAUAUUAGGAAACAAGUGGUCUGACUAGUGUAAAAUCAAGAAGCAUAUAAUUGUGUGCAUGUAGAUGUAUGUAUAUAUAGUGUGUGUCCAUACACACACAUAUGCACACAUCUUACACAUCUACAUCUAUGUGUUGGGGUUUUUUUAUUCCUUAUUCUUCCAGAAUAUCCCUUAGGCCCUUAGCUGAAAAUUAAAUGAAUUAUUUAUGGAUCACUUUAUGCUCAAUAUCUGCAAAUUACUUUUUAGAAAUCCGAAUUAGCAAAUAGGUUUCUAUUUCUGGUAAAAUUAAUGGUGCAAUCUCACAUUUCUUGUGCAUCCAGAAUUUUCAUUGAGAUCAAAUAGAUAUCACUAUAGGAAAAAAAUUAGCACUGAGACUGGCAAGAUACAGUUAACUUGUUUUGUUUAUGCGUAUUUCCCUUAAAGUGUUUGAAAUAUUGAGUCUUGUUUUUUAUUGAGUUCUAACUGAGAUUAGAACAUUUUUAACGAUGCUUGUAUUAUUUCACAGUGAGAUGGAAUUUUAAUUCACCCUUAUCCUAACAAAUGAGGGAAUAGUGGAGAACUUUUUACUGAAGCCCAGCACCCUUUACACAGUAAAGCAUCUUCAGUCUGAACUCUUCCUACUCCUUCUAUUUCUCAGAAAUGGCAGCUCUUUUUCAAACUUGUCUUUAUGUUUUGUUUUUUUUUAAAGAAAUCUGAUGUCUGUCCCUCUCCCUUCACUAUUUUGCAGGAAUAGAUUCUGUUUCUACAUGGCCACUUGAAAUAUUUACUAUGGUGGGAGGUGACUUCAGAUUUGGAAGAAGGAAAAGACAGCAGAGGGAAAGUUUAUUACCAGGCAGAUAUAGUUUUUAGAAUAUGCUAUUAAUCUUUGGAGUAAUACCAGGAACAAUGUAGCACAUAUCUUCCAGCAAGGAAACACCUGGAUGUCAUGACUUCCUACAUAGACCAAUACUGUUAUGACACUGAAAGUUCGUGGAGACAACCAUCAGCAAGAAGCACCUGAACUGCCCACAGUGAGUGGUGCACAGCUGAAAUACUGUCUGCUAA